CGGGACGGGUGAGUAAUGUCUGGGAAACUGCCUGAUGGAGGGGGAUAACUACUGGAAACGGUAGCUAAUACCGCAUAACGUCGCAAGACCAAAGAGGGGGACCUUGGGCCUCUUGCCAUCGGAUGUGCCCAGAUGGGAUUAGCUAGUAGGUGGGGUAAAGGCUCACCUAGGCGACGAUCCCUAGCUGGUCUGAGAGGAUGACCAGCCACACUGGAACUGAGACACGGUCCAG
rnacentral:rRNA from 1 species